rnacentral:rRNA from 1 species
UACGUAGGUGGCAAGCGUUGUCCGGAUUUACUGGGCGUAAAGAGUAUGUAGGCGGACAUUUAAGUAGAAAGUGAAAGGUUGGAGCUCAACUCCGACACUGCUUCCUAUACUGGGUGUCUUGAGUGCCGGAGAGGAAAGCGGAACGACACGUGUAGCGGUGAAAUGCGUUGAUAUGUGUCGGAACACCAAUGGCGAAGGCAGCUUUCUGGACGGAGCCGCAAGGCUUAAAACUGACGCUGAGAUGCGAAAGCCGAGGGAGCGAACAGG